CAUCACAUCCGGCCAAUGAGGGGGGGGGCGCUUGUUGUGUAUCCAAAGGAAGGGGGUGGCAAAGGAGAAAGGGACUUGAAUAAAGAAGGGCGAGAAGCAACGGCCAGCUUGGAGCCUCCGUGUCUGAAAGGCUGCUUACGCGAGGUGCGCCUCAAGGGUCGGAAGCGCAGGAGGGGCGGGGCCGACCAUUUGAAGGCUUAAGCUCAAAGGCACAACCAUGAAAGAUCCAAGUCGUAGGAGUACUAGUCCAAGCAUUAUCAGUGAAGAUAUGAUCAUGAAUGGUCACUCUCAUGAAGAUGAUAAUCCAUUUGCAGAAUAUAUGUGGAUGGAAAAUGAAGAGGAAUUCAACAGGCAGAUUGAAGAGGAAUUGUGGGAAGAAGAAUUUAUAGAACGUUGCUUCCAAGAAAUGCUGGAAGAAGAGGAAGAGCACGAAUGGUUUAUCCCAGCAAGAGAUCUUCCGCAAACGAUGGAUCAAAUUCAAGACCAGUUUAAUGAUCUUGUUAUCGGUGACAGUUCGUCACUGGAAGAUCUGGUGUUUGAAGAACUAACCUCUUGGGAAUAAUAAGGACAUGGAGAAUUCAUUUCCAUUGUUCAUCUGUCAGUUUCCUUGAGGUUUUCAGUGAAGCUCAGAUCCCGUUGUAAGUCUGCAGGGUUACAAAUAGUUCUAAAGAUCACAUAAACUCUCCCUUACAAUAUAGUAGAUACAAUAUCAUAGUCUGAUGAUGUUCUCAUUUGGUAGGUAUUCUUAAAAUUCUAUUGCUUUGGUUGUAAAUUAAAAAGCUUAGAAUUUUGUAUAAGAUGAACUAAUUUUUUAGCUGAAAUUUCAGCCUGUUAUCACUUACAGGGAUAUUGUUUUUUUUUUUUUAAAAUGAUAAAUUCUAAACCCAGCCCAAUGCAGACGGGACAAUUUAUUGUGCUUUUGAUAUUUGCAUUAAUACAUUGAAAUAUUACCCUUCCUCUGUGUGUGAAUUGAACACUUAAUAUGGAUGGGCAGGUCUGUUGUGUGAAUACCAAAUGUACUGAACCAAUCCAGUUGCUCUUAUCAUAGGUAAAUUUCCUGUCUUUUUAGUAUUCUGACUGAGAGCAACUUAAAGCAGUUUUUUUUAAUAUAGCACCUUUAAAGUUCGAUUUUUUUAACCUCAAUACAAACUGAAUUCUUUUGUAAUUGCCUCUACCUGCAUAUUAAGGUCAUCCACUCUGCUCUGAAUUUAUAAGUUGGGUUGUAUCUUAUAAGGCACCACGUCAUUUUGUAAGAGCAGGAUUUGUGUACUGUAAGAAAAAUAUAUGAAAGUUCCCGCUGUAUCAUGCUCUGCUUCGUAUCAUGGCCAUACACAUGAAUCCAGAAAUGUGGAUAGGAAAAUAAUAGAUUUAAAAUCUUAGGACUUUGCCAAAUCUCACAAGAUUGAUUUUGCAUAUUUUGGGUGAGAAUAUCAAAAUCUUGUAAAAUGUCAAAUGCCAUUACCAAAUACUGAGAGAUAUGGCAAUUUUCUAAAAUUGCAAUACUUUAUUUAUUUAUAUUGGAUACCUGCACCAUAGAGCAGCUUUGUGGAGCAUAAUCAUCUCUGGCCCACAAAUUGAGAACUGGUAACCUGGUCUCCUUUUAAGUCUAAAUUGGGAUUCCAUCUGUUGGCAGGAAGUUCCAUAGUUUAUAUAUGUAUUGGGCGAAGUAUUUCACAUGACCUCAACUUCCAAUAUUGUAAAUAAAAAGAAGAAUUGGAUCUGUAGUUUCUGCACCAUGCAUGAUGUUAUACCACUUUAUUAUGUCUUUCCUUAUUUACGUUAA